CCUACGGGGGGCAGCAGUAGGGAAUGUUGCGCAAUGGGCGAAAGCCUGACACAGCAACGCCGCGUGAUGGAGACGCCCUUCGGGGUGUAAAGAUCUGUUAGUGGGGACGAAACUUGACGGUACCCACAGAGGAAGCACCGGCUAACUCCGUGCCAGCAGCCGCGGUAAUACUGGGGGGGCAAGCGUUGUCCGGAUUCAUUGGGCGUAAAGAGGUCGUAGGCGGCACGUAAAGUCUGGUGUUAAAGGCAGAGGCUCAACUUCUGUACGGCACUGGAUACUUGCGAGCUAGAGUGCGGUAGAGGUAAAGGGAAUUCCUGGUGUAGCGGUGAAAUGCUUAGAUAUCAGGAGGAACAUCGGUGGCGAAGGCGCUUUACUGGGCCGUAAUUGACGCUGAGGAACGAAAGCCAGGGUAGCAAAUGGGAUUAGAUACCCCAGUAGUC
rnacentral:rRNA from 1 species